CUAACUUUAAUUUGUAUGGCGUUUGAACAUUUGCCUACGUUUGCCGCUAGGGGCGCUGUUUCAACUGCAUACAAAUGUAAGUGA
rnacentral:pre_miRNA from 1 species